rnacentral:rRNA from 1 species
GAGGAAUAUUGAUCAAUGGGCGGGAGCCUGAACCAGCCAAGUCGCGUGAGGGAAGACGGUCCUAUGGAUUGUAAACCUCUUUAGGCGGGGAGCAAUGCCGGGCACGCGUGCCCGGAGGGAGAGUACCCGCAGAAUAAGCAUCGGCUAACUCC